CUGAAUAAUCAGGUGUGUCGUGUGGUAGCUGUGCUACAGACCCAAGCCUGUACGGUGCUCGCUCAGUAUCUACAGGACAUCGAGUUCACUAAGGAGAUCAUUCAGCAUUGUGGAUCCACUAUUGAUAUUCUAAAGUCCCUGGCAAAGGAUUGUAAUUCAGGUUUGAGGUAGACUGUUGUGGAAGUCCACUGCAACAGACUUAGGCUACUACACAAGGAUUGUGCUAAACCUCCAUCUCCACCCAGCAAGCUUGACAGUCGGGCUAAUCGGGAGAUGUUGCUGGAUGCCAAUCCAUCCUUCCCCCCGAUCCGGGCCUUGGUAUUCUCCCAGGACAUGACUGGAGUGACCUUCCUUGAUGACCCCAGCACAGGAAGUGGACUACCCAGGGGCACCAUGAUCUACGCCAUCCAAGCA